rnacentral:lncRNA from 1 species
AGUCGCUAGCUUCCUGAUGGUAGCUACAAAGAUUCACCCUCUCAUUUUCUCUCAGUGAGAUGAACCCUCUCAUUUUCUAAUGAAAUUCGUAUACUUAGCCAAAAAAAAUCAAUGAUCGCACGCUUAUACUUUCUCUUCUUCGUGACUUUGUCGAUGACUGGAUGUACGUUUAAAAUUUAAACCAGACGUGAUCUAGCUACGAUAAUGACCACUAAAUUGGUUUUG